UUGGUUUGAUCCUGGCUCAGAUUGAACGCUGGCAGGAUGCCCAUGAGUCCGGCGACGACUUUGGCGGACUUUCUCCGGUCUGGUGGCGAGUGGCGAACGGGUGAGUAAUGUAUCGGAACGUGCCUGACGGAGGCUAACUACGCAGUGGCUGAAGCGCCGCGGCAAGCGCAUUCGGGGGAAAGCGGGGGACCUUCCGGGCCUCGCACUAUUAGAGCGGCCGAUAUCGGAUUAGCUAGUUGGUGGGGUAACGGCUCACCAAGGCGACGAUCCGUAGCUGGACCCGAGGGCGAUGACACGCUGGGACUGAGACACGGCCCAGACUCCUACGGGAGGCAGCAGUGGGGGUGCUGGACAAUGGGGGAAACCCUGAUCCAGCCAUCCCGCGUGUGCGAUGGCGCCUUCGGGUUGCAAAAGCACUUUUGGCGGAAAGCGGCACGGGAUAAUACCCCGUGCAACUGACAACCUGCAGGAUGGCGCACCGGCUGGCUGCGGCCGCCCGGCAACCGCGGUGGCGUACGUGGUGCGAAGCGUUGUUCCGGGAAUUACUGGAAAAACCGUAAAGCGCGGCGCGCAGGCGGUUCCGGGAGAGAAGUUCUAUUGAGAAAUCCCAGAGCUUAACUGCCUGGAACUGCAUUUUUAGCACUGCGGGCUUCAGGAACCGGCCGUGUCCAGGAGGUGGAAUUCCGCGUGUCGCGCAGUGAAAUGUACGUAGUAGAUAUGCGGAGGAACACCGAUGGCGAAAGCGUACUCCUGGGAUAACACUGACGCUCAUGCACGAAAGCGUGGGGAGCAAGCAAGUUAGAUACGGUGGUCGCUGACGAUGUCGACUGGCUGUUUUGGGGCCUUCGGAACCUUGUGUGCAGCUAACGUGGAGUUGACCGCCUGGGAAGCGGUCGCAAGAUUAAAACUCAAAGGAAUUGACGGGGACCCACUGGGCGGGCGGAUGAUGUGGAUUAAUUCGAUGCAACGCGAAACUACUACCUUGACAUGUGGGAUCCGAAGAGAGAUUUGGGAGGUGCUCGCAAGAGAACCGGGACUUUGGGGUGCUGCAUGGCUGUGGUCAGAGCUUCGUGUCAUUGAGAUUGGGUUAAAAUCUGUGGCGCAGCACUGUCAUUAGUUGCUGCGGGAACUCUAAUGAGACUGCCAGUGACAAACCGGAGGAAGGUGGGGACCGUCAGAUCCUCCUUUUGGUACGCAGCGUGGGUGGGCUUCACACGUCAUACAAUGGUCGGGACAGAGGGUCGCCAACCCGCGAGGAGGAACCAAUCCAGAAACCCGAUCGUAGUCGGAUCUGGUUAACGACUCUAUUUCAAACUGCGUGAAGUGGAAUCGUUGUGUCGCCGGAUCGUAUCUUACGGUAGAAUACGUUCAGGUCUUGUACACCUGUAGCAUCGCACCAUGAGAUGGGUUUCAAGAACAGUUGCUUCUUCUUUCAUGGGAGCGGUCACCACGGUAGGAUUCAUGACUGGGGUGAAGUCGUAACAAGGUAACUCUAUUAAAACUACCUGAUGCUCAGAACACUUUG
rnacentral:rRNA from 1 species